UUUUAUUCAUUCUGGGGGCUUUCACAGCUUUAUGGCUGUUGGAUAUUUAUGUCCCCAAACUUGCAGCAAGUUUGGUGAAGGCCCCUAAAUUUAUUUUAAUUUAGGUUUUUUAUUCUCUUUUGGUAGAUGGGCUCUAUAUUAAUAUUUAUCCUUUUAUUAUCACUGUGUUUUUAAGAGUCUUAAGGGGAGGGAACCUGUUUUAAGAUGUGUGGGUACCUUUUCUCUUAAUGGAAUGCAUUUCCUUCAAGGCUGCUCAGGUCGUCCUUAAGACACACUGCCCCUCCCCAUCGUUCCCUGCAUUGCAUUUGUGCUGUAUUUGUUUUUGGGUUUUGUGUAGUCUCUGAAUUGAUGGCAUGUAACCAGUUAUUAAUGUUCUCUCUUCUGAGGAUAUGUAUCUAUUGAAAAGCUUAAAAUAGAUUUGAACUAGUAAGUUAAUUGCUACAAAAAUUUGUAGCCCAAAUUACAGAAUACAGUUUCUUUGAAGAAGGUUAAGAUGUUAAUACUGCUGUGUUUGUGAGCUGCACCUCAACAAAUAUUAAUGUAGAGCCCUGCGAAGAAAUAGAUAUCAGGUCCAAGCUGGUAACACAGAAUAGAAGAGUGAGAAAAAGCUGCAGAUUUUUUCAGCUUGCCAGUUUCAGGGAGAACCUUUUCCUCAGUCUCUUUUUCCUCAGUUCAGGGAGAACUUUUUCCUCCAUCUCAAAUACAUGAAAUUCGAAAAUGUUUUGACUAUUGCAACAAUAGUAAGAGUUGAAAAACUUUUCUUUUAAACCUUGUGGGAUUCUGUUGCAUAUUCAGAAUUAGCUUCAUUUGAAGUUCCUUCUUUCACGCGGUGCCUAGCAAAAAUUUCUGCCCUUUGUGAAGAAAAAGGUGCUCAUUCUGUUGCAGAUCCCUCGGUUGUGAAUGCUUGAGGUUACUUAAAGAAAGCUUUAGAACAGCAGGUUUGCCUAAGGAGGUCUUGCAGCAUACCAGCAGUGAAAUAGUAAAUAAACAAAUGUGGGAGUCUGGUUUGACUUUUUUUAAAAGUUUUUGAGAUAUUUUAAAAGUUUGUGGUGAUGCUUUUUUAUGAGCAUAAUUGUUUAUUUCUUCAAGAUUUUGCUAAAUAUGACCCCUAAUGGGAUUUCAAGUAGCUUUAAUUCAAGGAUAGAGUUGUAAUUAACUUAGAAUGGAUUGCACAUUGCUGUUGUACCUUUCUUUGUUUGUACUCUGCCCUUUGCACUUUUCCUGUAGAAGGCCCCCCCAAAAUCCCUGUCUGACUGGAAAACUGACGUAUCCAUGUUAAUUGUUUCAGAAUGGUUAUUGAGCAUGGUCUUGCUUUGCUAAUUCUCAUUGUGGUGCUCCCCCUGAUAACAGUGAAGAUGAGAACAACUCUUCAAGAUAUACUACUGCAACUAGUACUUCUUUUGCUUGCUUAAUUUAUAGGACCAUUUGAAUUAGUUCUUUUUUUCCCUAGAAUGUCUAAGGAAACUGUUUAACUCAAAAUAAUACGUUGUGGGGCUUGUAGUUCUUGCUUAAAGUAUCUGAAUCUCAUAGAGUCUCAAAAUAAAAAAUAGGCAAAUUUCAAAUGCCUUUUUAUUUUGAGGGAUGAAGUGUGUUCUUAGUUACAUUCCAGUAUUGCAGCUUUCAUUGCAGCAGUUUGUGUAUCACAAAGUUGGACAUCUUGCUGUUAGUGAAAUUUCUUUGCUAAAGGUGGCAGUAUUUCAGUGACAUGACUUUUAUAGAUAUUAAUAAAAUGAGGUCUUGGAGUUCAGGUUUUUUUUAAGCUUAAGUAGGGGCACAUAACUUCUUUUAAGGAGCACGGGUUACUGAUACUCUGCUAAAUUGGGUAAAUUUGCACCUGAUCUAUUAAACAAGAAAAGUAACUUGGAGAUGUGGUAAAUGAAGUGCAUAUCACAUAUGAAGAACUUUUAAAAAAUCUGUAUACUUGGAAUCAAAAUAAUCAGACCAGGGAAACAGUGGUAGUGCCUGGGUUCUCUAAGAAUGCAGGUGCCUGUGACUGCUGUUCUGUCUGUCACGGUUGAGCUAGGUUGGAAGUAGUUCAGAGGAAAGGAAGUUUUGGGCCAGCUGUUUAAGGGAUCAAGAUGAAUCAAAGUGUUUGUAAAGCACAAUGUAUAUGAAGUUCUUUCUGAAGUUCUGAAAAACACUUGGUUAGAGGUUUCUGGCACACUGUAAGCAGCAGCUUAGUGCAGUCUUGAUUGUCAGAGCAGAUAUUCCCAGUAAGGCUCUGUUAAAGGAAAUGCAGUUUUAUUGCAGUCUUGUGAAGGUGUGGCUGAGGGGGCUGAGCACUGGAGCCUGCUGCUUUGGCAGCCAGCCAUAUCCUGUCCUGAACCACAGGAUCCAGGGUGUUACCUUCAAGCCAUUUGUUUCUGGCAUCCUGCUAAGUCAGUUUUGACUGUCUCUGGUAUGAAUAAUUGUCAGGCUUGGUACUUAUAUACCUGGACACUGUUGUGAAUAGUGAGGCCCUUGUACCUUCUGAACAAGUUUUUACAAUAACCUCCUAAAUUCUUGCGGGCUUCCUUGCAGUAGUGACAGUCAGCAACACUGCUGUUUUAAUGGCAGUGAACUUCUGCAGAAGUACUGUCUUGAACUUACUUACCUUAAGGUUUUUCUUUCUUGAGGAUAUAAAGAAGUGAAAAAGUUUUGAGAAAAUAAUAGAAUUUUAAUGCCAGUGUCAUCCUAACUAAAAAGCAAAGAAACACAUGACAUUGAGAGCUUGAAAGAUUCCUUAUAAAUUCUCUUGUUAGCAGUUAAAGUGUGUGUCUCUGACAGCUAACUAACUGCCUUAUAUAAGGUUCAAGCUUCUGACAUCUUAAACUUUUUUCCCUUAAAUUUUGUCUUAAAUCUCUACCAUAUUCAGAAAAGGGGCAUGGGUUGUAAAUUUCCGUUUCUGCUGUGCUUAGCCAAUAUGUAGAACUGGUUUUUGCUAACAGAAAUUUUAAUUACCUGAAAUGAAUGCAGUACAACCAAAGGAAACUAUUUCACCAUCUCCCAACUUACGAAAUUAUAUAAUGCUUUGAGAUAAAGAUGUCAUGCAGAGCUUUUUUCUUUUCUCUUUUGUUCAUUGAAUUACUUGCACUGAAUUCUCUAGCUUCUUUCUCAUAAAAUUAAGUGGGGAAAAAUACAUUUUGCUCUUUCACUUGUAAAGUCCAGAAUAAGAAAACACACUUUAAGACUUUAAUGAAGGAACCUGGCAAUGUAAGUAUUGUAAUUUCCUUUAUGUUUUUAGUAGGCAACAGGUGACCUUAUUGAACUCAUGGGUUUUGUAUAAAAAGUCAGAAGGGCAAAUUGAAAGUAGUUUUACAGUUGCCUUUACUUCACAUGCUUUUCUUAAGCAACAAAUUGCAGUAAUUGAAGUUUGGCAGGUUUUUUUUUUUAAUAAAAAACUAAAUUAUGGCUAAAACACCUUGGUUUAAUACGAUUUGUGUUUCUGUUAACUAGCAGCAGAAUUUCAGCAUUUGCUACUUACUGGUAGAGAAGAAAAAUUCCACAGAACUGCCAGUACAGGACCAAAACAAAACUGGAAACUUGGACUUUGAUUACCAGGUGAGCAGUGUUAAAUUGUAGCUCAACUUCUGACACACCAUUAGAGCAGCUGUCCAUUGUAAAGUGGUUCAGCAGUUUUCCCUCCCAGUUCUGGUACUGUGUAUUUGGAACAGUUUGUCAUUUCCCAUUAUUUCCUUAGACUCCUUGCUGACUCCCAGUUGCCCUUUUAGCGUUUUGGUCACUGUGCAGCAAACUCAAAAUGAGCAAACUCCAAGUUGGUUUUGGUACCUUCAUAAAGGACCUUUAAGCACAUGAGUGAAUAGUGUCCCCUGUCAGUAGCAGUAGGGCCACAGAAGUUAGUGUGUUGUGAAGGGUUUUUUUCUGUAACUUGAUUCUGCUUUUGUGUUAAGUGGUAUGAAAGGGCUGGGAUUACUGAUCUUUUUCAAAAGACAGGUGGUGGCAAAAUACUGAUGUUGAAUUUAAUUCAAGAAAGAGACUGGUAAGUAUGUGCAUCACUUUAAUGCAUGCAAAUAAUAGUAACAAUAACAAGCUUAAUUUUAUAGCGUUCAGUUUACAAAGAAGAUGAGAAGAAAAUGCAGAGCUAAUAUCACUUGCAUCCACUGGGAACCCUCUCUGAACUGUUCUUCAUAUAGCCAUCUGUAAUGUGUGAUCAUUUUGUAACAGUCUCUGAUUAAACAGAAGUGAACCACU